UACAGAGGCCCCGAGCAUUACCCGGAAUCAUUGGGCGUAAAGAGUGCGUAGGUGGUCAUGUUAGUCGGGCGUUAAACCCCGGGGCUCAACCCCGGAAUCGCACCCGAAACGGCAUGACUCGAGGGCGUGAGAGGUACAUGGAACUCAUGGUGUAGGGGUGAAAUCCGUUGAUAUCAUGGGGAACACCGAAAGCGAAGGCAAUGUACUGGCGCGUUCCUGACACUCAAGCACGAAAGCGUGGGUAG
rnacentral:rRNA from 1 species